UCACAGUCUAGUAGAAGAAAGGGUCACUGUCACCCAGGCUGGAGUGCAGUGGUGCAAUCAUGGCUUAUUGCAGCUUCGACCUCCCAGGUUCAAGUGAUCCUUCCACUUCAGCCUCUCAAAAUGUUGGGAUUAGAGGCAUAAGCCACCAUGCCAGGCCCAUUCAAUUCUUUAUAUGCGUCUUACAUAUGUCUGUAGCUGGAAAAUAUACCUGAAAGCACAACAUUCAUAUAUACAGUAUAGCAAAACAUGGCUGAGGAAAAAUCUCAAAAAUCACAGCGCUAUGAAAC
rnacentral:lncRNA from 10 species